rnacentral:rRNA from 1 species
UACGGGGGGGGCAAGCGUUGUUCGGAAUUACUGGGCGUAAAGGGCUCGUAGGCGGCCAACUAAGUCAGACGUGAAAUCCCUCGGCUUAACCGGGGAACUGCAUCUGAUACUGGAUGGCUUGAGUUCGGGAGAGGGAUGCGGAAUUCCAGGUGUAGCGGUGAAAUGCGUAGAUAUCUGGAGGAACACCGGUGGCGAAGGCGGCAUCCUGGACCGACACUGACGCUGAGGUGCGAAAGCGUGGGAGCAACAGG